CCUACGGGAGGCAGCAGUGGGGAAUAUUGGGCAAUGGGCGCAAGCCUGACCCAGCAACGCCGCGUGAAGGAAGAAGGCUCUCGGGUUGUAAACUUCUUUUCUCAGGGACGAAGCAAGUGACGGUACCUGAGGAAUAAGCCACGGCUAACUACGUGCCAGCAGCCGCGGUAAUACGUAGGUGGCAAGCGUUAUCCGGAUUCACUGGGUGUAAAGGGCGUGUAGGCGGGACUGCAAGUCAGAUGUGAAAAUCACGGGCUCAACCUGUGGACUGCAUUUGAAACUGUAAUUCUUGAGUACUGGAGAGGCAGGCGGAAUUCCUGGUGUAGCGGUGAAAUGCGUAGAUAUUAGGAGGAACACCGGUGGCGAAGGCGGUCUGCUGGACAGCAACUGACGCUGAGGCGCGAAAGCGUGGGGAGCAAACAGGAUUAGAUACCCGGGUAGUC
rnacentral:rRNA from 1 species